rnacentral:rRNA from 1 species
GAUGAACGCUGGCGGCGUGCUUAACACAUGCAAGUCGAACGGAAAGGCCCAAGCUUGCUUGGGUACUCGAGUGGCGAACGGGUGAGUAACACGUGGGUGAUCUGCCCUGCACUUCGGGAUAAGCCUGGGAAACUGGGUCUAAUACCGGAUAGGACCACAUUUUGGAUGGUGUGGUGGAAAGUUUUUCGGUGUGGGGUGAGCUCGCGGCCUAUCAGCUUGUUUGUGGGGUAAUGGCCUACCAAGGCGUCGACGGGUAGCCGGCCUGAGAGGGUGUACGGCCACAUUGGGACUGAGAUACGGCCCAGACUCCUACGGGAGGCAGCAGUGGGGAAUAUUGCACAAUGGGCGCAAGCCUGAUGCAGCGACGCCGCGUGGGGGAUGACGGCCUUCGGGUUGUAAACUCCUUUCGCUAGGGACGAAGCGUUAUGUGACGGUACCUGGAGAAGAAGCACCGGCUAACUACGUG